rnacentral:rRNA from 1 species
UACGUAGGUGGCAAGCGUUGUCCGGAUUUAUUGGGCGUAAAGCGAGCGCAGGCGGUUUCUUAAGUCUGAUGUGAAAGCCCCCGGCUCAACCGGGGAGGGUCAUUGGAAACUGGGAAACUUGAGUGCAGAAGAGGAGAGUGGAAUUCCAUGUGUAGCGGUGAAAUGCGUAGAUAUACGGAGGAACACCAGUGGCGAAGGCGGCUCUCUGGUCUGUAACUGACGCUGAGGCUCGAAAGCGUGGGGAGCAAACAGGAUUAGAUACCCUGGUAGUCCGCGCCGUAAACGAUGAGUGCUAAGUGUUGGAGGGUUUCCGCCCUUCAGUGCUGCAGCUAACGCAUUAAGCACUCCGCCUGGGGAGUACGACCGCAAGGUUGAA